rnacentral:ncRNA from 1 species
AAGAAAACGGUUAAGGGAAAACGGUGAGAAACCGCUACAGCCCCCGCUACUGUAAGCAUGGAUGAAAUCCGUAAAUUACGGCCACCGAUAUGGGAAGGCCCGGAGAGUAGUAUGAAGUGCAAGCCAGGAGACCUGCCGCCUGUUUAA